UACGUAGGGCGCAAGCGUUGUCCGGAAUUAUUGGGCGUAAAGAGCUCGUAGGCGGCUUGUCGCGUCGGAUGUGAAAGCCCGGGGCUUAACCCCGGGUCUGCAUUCGAUACGGGCAGGCUAGAGUUCGGUAGGGGAGAUCGGAAUUCCUGGUGUAGCGGUGAAAUGCGCAGAUAUCAGGAGGAACACCGGUGGCGAAGGCGGAUCUCUGGGCCUUACCUGACGCUCAGGCGCGAAAGCGUGGGGAGCAAACAGG
rnacentral:rRNA from 1 species